AAAGCGCCCGCUGGCCACUCCCAAUGCGCAUGGUGGUCGAGGCGAAGAAGAGUGCAUGCUCGUCAGCAGAGAACUGCAUGUCGAGGCCACUCCAUGCCCGACUGUCGUCAGUGCGGGAGAGCCAUAGCCAGCGCAGUCUGAGCGCGAGGCCGGCGCGCUCGAUGUCCUGGACACCAAGGCUACCGAGGGAGAUGGGGCGACAGACACGCUUCCAGUUAACGUGACUGUCCUCCGUUGGCGGCGGCGCGACCAGCCCAGAGAAACCCGCAUUUAAUCUUCUCGGCCAUCUUAAGGGCUUUCUUUGGUGGGGCGUAUGCAAGCAAUUGGUGGAUGGGGAUGGCGCAAAGGACAGAUUUCACCAUUGCCAGACGCCCGGGUUUGCUCAUGAGACCGGCUUUCCAGGCAAAGAGAGGAGAUGCGCCGACAGGUGGUGACCACAUGGCAGCUUUUGCCAAUGACCAGCGACGCCGCCAUGAUAUGUGUGCUAUUGCUCGGGCCUCCCCGCUGCUUGGACAAAGAGGUUGAUGGCCCGUACCUCCAUUAGCAACUACUAUGUUCUCUCACUGUCCGUGCCGUCUGGACCAAAGAGUGGGCUGGAGGAGGGUGUGGACCCCAAUGAUGACGUGGAAGGGGAUAAGGGGGAAGACCUGGUCAUUCUCGAUGAGAGGUCGUCCAGUUCUACCUUGUCCUCUAGCCUACUUGCUAUCAUCAUUCUCCAGUCAUAAAUCGUGUAUCUAGGUGAUUCCUUUGUACAAAUUGCUUGCUUUUCCUGAUUAAUCAUUAACCAUUGCUCUCAUAUCAUGAUAAUGGAUUCAGCUUUUUCCUAAAAUAAUCAAACUCGAGGUUACCUACAUUUUGGCGAUUCAUUUGAUCAACAAAAUAUCAAGAAGUGGCUGAUUUAGCUCUAUUUCUUGAGCAGUUAAGUUUAUCUCGGUACAUUGUAUGACUACGGCUAUGUCCCAUGAAACAAAAGCUAUCUUCUCAACAUAUUAACUGAAGCUCUUGUUUCUACUACAUGGCAGCUGCUACUUAUUAACGUGUCAACAUUGGUUGCAUUUAAAUUGAUUCAGCUCAAUCAUGGUUUACACUACAAUCUCUUAUUUUGCACUUAUAUUUCCUAUAUCUAUAUAUAUAAUUCCUGAUAAUGGUUUCAACUUGCAAAUGCACACUUAUUUGCUCAUGCUCUUUUUCUACAUAAUUAAUUGGCAUAUUGUCCUGGUAUAGUUAGUCCUUUUGAUGGUUUGACUAGGAGUAUUUUCCUUGGUUUAGACUUAAAAGUAAAGUAAUAACAACUGAUUAUUGAUAUUCUUGUGUUAUGAGUAAAAUGAAAUCCCUUUUGACAAUAUAAGGGUGUUCUUUAAGUUUGGAUGCUAUGUAGCUUUGUAUAAGUUGAUGUCCAUGCUUACUCACAUGAUUCUCAAACUUGGACAUUCCUGCUGGGGAAGGGCCGGGAUGAACGCCGGUUGCCUGAACGCCGCCUCUGCUACGAGCUACAAGGCCAGAUAUAGUACCUGCGGGGCCUGCGACCUCUGGAAGCUUCUCUUCAUGUUCUUGGUUUGUGCUAGCUCUUGAUGUGUCUAAUCUCACCAAAUGCUACUCUAAUUGUGAAGGCCCCAAGUUUGCGCUUGUCUGAUGCGAUGAAAUCAUGUGCGACAUGCUCUCCUUGUAUAUGAGAUUCUUCUGCUUUAGUUUCUCACGGCUGCUAGGUCUUGUCAUCGAUUGGAGCAGCAGGGCUCGUUGGAGCUAUGGGAUUCAGAAGCAAUGUUGUCUUGAGCAUCCUCUGGGAGAGAGAUUGAGCAGGAGGAGCUCCGCAACUCGCCAACGGUGGUGACCGCGGCAAAUAGCUCGAUGCCAGAAUGAUAAAUGCCAGGAUAGCGGCCAGAGCCGCCGCCCUCCUGCUCAAGCCUUCCUAUUGCCCGCGCCAAGGGUUGGGAGGCGUGAAACCAACCCAAGGAUGCUUCUGCCUGUCUUCGUCGAUAAUAGACGACAAGAUCGGAGCUCUGGUACAUGUGUUCGAGGCUCUUCCUUGGUCAUUCGACUCAGCCAAGGCGAUGGGGGUGACAAGGGCUGAGUUGAAGGGUGGCGCCCCUCGUCUUGUCUUCGUCUAUGAGCUUCCCCCUAACUUCUUGGAUCUCACCUUCUCCUUGGUGCAAGUAGAACUCGUGACAUGUGUGCUACUGGCAGCGAACCCUUGGUUGCUCCAUGGUACACAUGUUCUGCUCUUUAUGAUGUCGUCAGAGUGGUCGCUGCCAACGUCUUGCUGCUUGGCUAUGGAUGACCUUGAGCGCAAGUUAAAUGACGUCGAGAUAAUCUACUCCCUCCAACACAGAUUGGUGGAGUCAAUGAGAUAGCCAAAAGAAGAUUUGGGUGCAGUCUAGGGUUCGGCCUCUGUUUAAUUGAACAAUAUGGUACAGACGUGGAAUGCAAGAUCAAGCCUUUGUUAUUGUGUUGAUUGAUCUCGUUGCAGUGUGAGCCUGAUGGUGGUGGGCUCACCGCAACACAACCAUGGUGGUAGUGGUGUUUUGCUUCUGCUACAACCAAACGAAAAGGAGGAGACAUGCUCAGGCUCCUACUGCUGGUCACCUGCUUGGGCUGCUGCUGCUGCUCUCUCCUCUGACCGCAUCCCCGAGCUGCUGCUGCAGGCACGGUUUCCCUGCCCUUCACUGGUUGCAACCUGCUUGACCGGCGGUGGUCUCGCUUGCUAGCGGGACGAGACCUCUCGGUGCCCAGAGACCGAUAUCGGCCACAACCAGUCUCAUGUCCGAGUCUUGCAUUGGUCCACACAAACACUCCACAUGCCAUCAUUAUGUUCUUCACGAGCAAUCUGUAGCAGUUUCCAGUCAGAAGACUCCAUGUGCACAGCAAGAUAUAUUACUUCUGCUAGGAACACCAGGGGGACUUAUGUUCCAUCAUGAUUGCAGAUUGCGCUGCCAUGAUUAAGCACUCAAUCUAUAAUGACGUAAUAGUAGAAUGCAUACGUGUGUUUGAGUUUCCAGAAUGUACUCUAAUAAUUUUCUCAUCUACCUUUUCUUCAUUAAGGAAACUUUGUGGUAGUUAUAAUAUAAAUCAUUUCUUGGGAUUUGACCCAAUGCUAC